UACGUAGGUGGCAAGCGUUGUCCGGAAUUACUGGGCGUAAAGCGUGCGCAGGCGGCUAUGCAAGACAGAUGUGAAAUCCCCGGGCUCAACCUGGGAACUGCAUUUGUGACUGCAUGGCUAGAGUACGGUAGAGGGGGAUGGAAUUCCGCGUGUAGCAGUGAAAUGCGUAGAUAUGCGGAGGAACACCGAUGGCGAAGGCAAUCCCCUGGACCUGUACUGACGCUCAUGCACGAAAGCGUGGGGAGCAAACAGG
rnacentral:rRNA from 1 species